CGUGCAACCGAAGUCUUUCAAGAUAUGUUUUCCCUCUGCAGGGAUUGAACAAUAUGUGCCAGAAGGGGCGUGGGCCGGAAUCAAACCCAUGCUGACACGGAAUUUCAUGAUGCACAGGAAACAUUUUCCAUGACAAAAGAGUUAACUACGGCACUGACGUAUAGUUGAUCGGGAGGGAGGAGCCAGAGAGCUUUGACGGCAUUGUGACCAAUCUGAGAGAUGUCGUCAUAGCAGCAACAGGAGCUGACUGUGCGCCCCUCCUCUUCACUGACCCUCAGGCCAAGGUCAUUGGAACUGUUCACAAACGGUGGAAAGAAACCCAUAUGGAAGUUGCCAUAGCUACAGUCAACGCAUGGUGACCGGGUUCGGCAGCAGCAUGUGGGAUGUCACUGUAGUGAUCAGGCCAUCGGUGGGGGCCUGUUGUUUUACGCUGUAGAGAGAGCAGGCUGUUCUAAUCUAUCUACCUUGACUGUGUUCUUGGCAUGGCUGAGGCCAGGCCUCAUACAACUAACCACCAGAAUACUUCUCCAGAGGGGUGGGGUCUUGCCUGAGCGUAUCCAUGACGACACGCUGAAUGACAGGCCGAGCGUGACCCUAUGCACAUCCUCUCACACUGAGGCCUUCUUCUCCCGCGUCAGGGACGGACUUAACUUUGGAACACAGGUGGGCUUCCUGUGGAUGGACUAACUGGAACUACUGACUGUUGUAUACAUUCAGCCAUAUCUGUCUGUUGCAUCCAACACAAAAAGGAUAUAUUCCAGAA